UCUGGUUCAGUCUACGCCUUGUAGCUCUGGCAGAGACUGAAGCAUGAGGGUCUCCUUCCCCACCCCACAGUCUGCUCUCUGUUUUCUACAAAUGAAGGAAACAUCUCCUCUGCUUCUGAUAUGAAAGCAAGGAUUUAUAAGAGAAAACGGAAACCUGUCUUCCUCUGAUUGGGAAACCUGUCUUUGUUUUCAUCUACUUCUGCACAACUUUCUCAGCAUCAUAAACCACCUGCUGGAGUGAGCCCUCUGAAGUGACACAGCAGAGAUUUCCUUCCAAAGCGACCCAGCCGCUCCAAAAAGAUUCACUCCCGCAGUGCAGGGUCCCCACGGGACUGGUCUGUCCAAACACAAUGUUUUGAUGCUGUUUGUCCAGGGGUGAUAGUGAAUAAAAACAUUUGAAAAUCUAAGUGUAGGUGGCGGUGAGGGAAUAAAUGUCAAUUCUUGAUCCGUAUCUGCCUUGGAAACAGUUAAAUUUGCAGAGCAGAAUCUCGGCGCUGGUAUUUACUACAAUUCUAAUCUCUCACUAAAAAAAGAUUUUCCCCUACAAUAAAAACUCUUGAAAUUAAAUUUGACACAUUUGAGUCUGAAAUAAACUCCAUUUCAAAUAAAAUUGUAUCUUUGGAACAAUAUACAUCAAAAUACAGAAGAAAAUUGCAGGGAGAUUAUGAUAGGAUUAAGCUAUUUCCUGCGCAGAGCGAUAGCGCUGCAGCCCUGUCAGGAGCACUUCUCCAGGCUAAUGCGUUUGUUCCCCAUAAAGCACAGCUCACGGAGGAUGCUAUUCCCUCUUUAACCUGCCAAGUGGAGUGCUGUUAAAAAAUAAAAAAUAAAAAUGGUGCUGCUAGGAGCUUGGCACUUGAUAUUUCAGCUUAUUUUAGUUUCAUUGAGUUCAGGCGGCCCCUGGUCAGGGUUCCCCUGGUUGGAGAGCAGCCCCCGGGGAUGUCUGUGGGGUUUUGGAUGCUCCUCAAGAUUUUGGGAGAGGGAAAGGUGUUUUAGCCAACUCCGUGAUAGCUCUUUGCUCAACAGGAAGGGUAAGGAAAGCGGAAAGGGAACAUAGCAGUCAUGUCAUGGGUUUGGUGUCACAUAAAAGCCUUCUUCAUCUUGCCAACCACUUCUCCCAUUAAUCCAGAAUAUUUUGCAGCAUCUCACUGCUGGUUUAAGUCCACAAGCAAAAUGUACAUGUAAAACAGAAAUGGAUAUUUUGUUUUUUAAAGAAUUUUGUAGAUUUCCUGUGUCAUACAAACUCUUAGGAACGUAGGAAAUGGCUAGUUUUACAAUAAAAAUUCUCUUCUCAGUGUUUCCAGACCCCAGCAUUAUUUCCCCCAACCUUUUUAAAGGAAGAUACAAUUUCUUUCUGAAGAGAAGGAUGUGUCUGCACGUUGGGACUGUGCAGAGCUGCCGUCCUUAUCCAAGGCAGCUGUGCCAAUAAAAGUUGUGGGCAUGGCUCUGCCCAUGAACACAUGGACACGGGUGGGCAGGAGGUGGCAUUACUAUGGCCAUGCAGGAGGAAACUUCCCCGGUGCAGCUACUUCUACACGCAGCGUGCUCUGCUUGCAGUGGGAGAGCUUUCCUGCUCAAGCCUGGCUUUCAAUUAUUAAUAAGAAUUGGACUUUCUUCUUAAAAGUGAAGACUGUGAUUCAUGUUGAAAUGUUGAAAUCCCUAUUCUGUCUCUGCUCCCAAAAUGUCAAUAUUUUGUGAUGUUUUAUUUUUUGAUAGCAUUAUACAUAUGGCACACCAUUUCGCUGUGAUAAAAAUCUGAGCAUUAUGUCAUUUUUGAUAAAAGGAAAAGAACCAAAGUAUGCUUACUAUAAUUUCUACUUAACUGUUAUUAAGAGACUAAUUACCAUGAACUUUUGUACCAUGAUUUCAUGUAACUUGUUAAAAAAAA